rnacentral:rRNA from 1 species
UACGUAGGGUGCGAGCGUUAAUCGGAAUUACUGGGCGUAAAGCGUGCGCAGGCGGUUCGUUAAGUCAGAUGUGAAAGCCCCGGGCUCAACCUGGGAACUGCAUUUGAAACUGGCGGGCUUGAGUAUGGCAGAGGGGGGUGGAAUUCCGCGUGUAGCAGUGAAAUGCGUAGAGAUGCGGAGGAACACCGAUGGCGAAGGCAGCCCCCUGGGCCAAUACUGACGCUGAGGAGCGAAAGCGUGGGGAGCAAACAGG